GUAAUUAUCUGUCUUAUUGUUUAGGAUCUUGCUAAGAAAUUUAAUGAAACAACUCAAUACAAGAAUAUGAAGCAGAUGUUAACAUCUAAGAAUGAUCAGAUUAAAGAUCUACGAGUUCGAUUACGCAAAUAUGAGCCUGACUCUUGAGGCCUUGUUGGUGUUUCAUGGCAGCUGAAGAACUUUAACAAUAACACUAUGUGAGACACUUCAUGACUGUGGCUUGUUCUCAGAACACACCAUUAGAUGAUCUUGUUGGAAGGACAGUUUAAUAAAACUAAGCUUUUUAAGCAAUACAUCAGUAAUUUUCAAGCAACCUUAUUGUUUUUUUUUUAAGUUCUGUUCCCAUUGUACAAAUUACAUGACAUAAGAAAGACAGAGCUAAGUUCCACAUAAGAUUGUUAAGUAGCAAAUGUCUAUCUAUCAUCUCCUUGAUGUAAAUGUAGGCAAAGAUUGCACUUUGUUGCUCUGUAACAUGUAUGUGCUGAAUAUUAAACGAGGCUGAGCCCUGUGGUGCA